rnacentral:rRNA from 1 species
GACGAACGCUGGCGGCGUGCUUAACACAUGCAAGUCGAACGGAAAGGCCCUGCUUUUGUGGGGUGCUCGAGUGGCGAACGGGUGAGUAACACGUGAGUAACCUGCCCUUGACUUUGGGAUAACUUCAGGAAACUGGGGCUAAUACCGGAUAGGAGCUCCUGCUGCAUGGUGGGGGUUGGAAAGUUUCGGCGGUUGGGGAUGGACUCGCGGCUUAUCAGCUUGUUGGUGAGGUAGUGGCUACCAAGGCUUUGACGGGGAGCCGGCCUGAGAGGGUGACCGGCCACAUUGGGACUGAGAUACGGCCCAGACUCCUACGGGAGGCAGCAGUGGGGAAUAUUGCACAAUGGGCGGAAGCCUGAUGCAGCAACGCCGCGUGCGGGAUGACGGCCUUCGGGUUGUAAACCGCUUUCGCCUGUGACGAAGCGUGAGUGACGGUAAUGGGUAAAGAAGCACCGGCUAACUACGUG